rnacentral:rRNA from 1 species
GAGAGAUUCCGUCACCACCAAAAGAGUUAGGCACAGGGACACAUUUGAAGUCUCAGAGCCGGGUGUUGGUUCCGGUAGAGAUCGAGGGAAAUUAGUACCGAAGUCUGAGAUGGAAGAUGGCGAGAAAAGCUGUGUGUAUUUCUGAGGUGCCCGUACCGCAAACCGACACAGGUAGGUAGGAAGAAGAUUCUGAGGCCAACGGGAGAAGGGUUGUUAAGGAACUCGGCAAAUUGACCCCGUAACUUCGGGAGAAGGGGUGCUCCAGAGAUGGAGCCGCAGAGAAUCGGCCCAAGCAACUGUUUACCAAAAACACAGGUUUGUGCUAAAUCGAAAGAUGACGUAUACGAGCUGACGCCUGCCCGGUGCUGGAAGGUUAAGAGGAGAUGUGCAAGCACUGAAUCGAAGCCCCAGUGAACGGCGGCCGUAACUAUAACGGUCCUAAGGUAGCGAAAUUCCUUGUCAGGUAAGUUCUGACCCGCAUGAAAGGCGUAAUGAUUUGGGCACUGUCUCAACAGCCCGCCCGGCGAAAUUGUAGUACCGGUGAAGAUGCCGGUUACCCGCGACAAGACGGAAAGACCCCAUGGAGCUUUACUGUAGCCUAAUAUUGGGUUUCGAUGUUGCAUGCACAGGAUAGAUGGGACACAGGGAAACAAUCGCUUUGGCGGUUGCGGAGUGGCCGUUGGGAUACCAUCCUUGCGAUAUUGGAAUUCUAACCUGCGGCUCUGAAUCGAGUCGGGGGACAUUGUUAGGUGGGCAGUUUGACUGGGGCGGUCGCCUCCUAAAAAGUAACGGAGGCGUUCAAAGGUUCGCUCAGCUUGAACGGAAAUCAAGCAAAAGAGUGCAAACGCAGAAGCGAGCCUAACUGCGAGACUGACGGGGUCGAGCAGUAACGAAAGUUGGAGUUAGUGAUCCGGUGGUAUGUGAGUGGAAAUGCCAUCGCUCAACGGAUAAAAGUUACCCUGGGGAUAACAGGCUGAUCUCCCCCAAGAGUCCACAUCGACGGGGAGGUUUGGCACCUCGAUGUCGGCUCAUCGCAUCCUGGGGCUGUAUUCGGUCCCAAGGGUUUGGCUGUUCGCCAAUUAAAGCGGUACGCGAGCUGGGUUCAGAACGUCGUGAGACAGUUCGGUCCCUAUCUGUCGUGGGCGCAGGAUAUUUGAUGGGAGCUGUCCCUAGUACGAGAGGACCGGGACGGACGUACCUCUGGCGCACCAGUUGUUCCGCCAGGAGCAUAGCUGGGCAACUACGUACGGAUCGGAUAAACGCUGAAAGCAUCUAAGCGUGAAGCCGACCCAAAGAUAAGAUAUCCCACUGAUUCAAUCAGGUAAGAUCCCUUGAAGACUACAAGGUUGAUAGGCACGAUGUGUAAGUGGAGUGAUCCAUUCAGCAAGAGUGUACUAAUAGAUCGAGGGCUUGAUC